GGUGGGGCUGCCUACGGGAGCGAAGCGUGAGGGCACGCCGCUCGCCGUCGUCCAAUGGGAGGGCGCUUUUCCCCAGGUCUGCGGGGUCUGCAGGGGGUUGUGGUUUAGGCCCUGACUGGUCUUCGGGCGCUGUUUCUGGAGUAGAGCAAGGCGCGCAUUCCCCUGUUGAUUUGGCGUCCGCGAGGUUUGUUCUUCUUUGCCCCAGGGGCGUGGGUAAGGCCCUAGUCCGCCUGGUUCGAGGCCGCCGUAUUUUCCGUCAUUGCGAAGGCAGUAGAAGGGAAACUUCUCCGGUCGAAGCUUUCCGGGAAAGUGACUGGUGGCCCACUCAAACGCCUAACUCCUGACCCCCUCAGUCCAGGGGUUUAGCCCUUUUUGCCCAAGACCCGAGGAUAGGUGCAAGAGAAGCCCUUGAAUUAGAGGCUCGUCCCCUUUUCUUCUAAUGGAUUUCCAAGUUAGGCAUUCUUCAGGUAUUUCAGGCAAAUACCAUCUGUUAAAGGUUCAGUAGUCCUACUUAUGAGGGAAAUUCCACCCAGCUUCCCCAGGGCCUUUCUAGAUCUCAGGCAAUAAAUCCAGCCAAGAGUGACUUGUGCGAGGUCUCAGAACUGGAAAGUUCUCUGCAAAUCUCCCAAUCUAGCAGGAAAGCUUUCAGUUUGCAGCUCAUUUCCAGAAUCUCCUUACAGCUAAUGUUCAAACGGCAAGCUCUAAGCUUCCAAGUGGAUUGUCUACACUGUUGAUAUGCUUUCUGGUUACCGGCACCUGGUGUCUCUAUCAGUGGACCUUUAAAAAAGGUAACCUGAUUGUAUAGCCCAAAUCCAACAUCAUGGUGUCAAAGAAAUCUGCCAGAAAAGCCAAUAAAGCGUUCUAAAAUAAAGCAAUCUUUAUCUGCAGUGAAAGGAGGUUGUUGGGUUAAGUAGUCUUAAAAAUUACCUUUCCACUUUUCAGGCAUCUUGUCCAGAAGUCAUUCCUUCAUUCAAGAACUGUAUGAAGGGCCUGUGUGGGACAGGCACUGCAUCAGGUGCUGGUGAUCCAGGAACAAACAAAGCUGAUAAAAUUUGCUGCCCAAAUGGAGAUGGGUGUGGGGUAAUUAUUGGAGAUGGACAACAAAUUAAACAAGAUAUGCA
rnacentral:lncRNA from 1 species